rnacentral:rRNA from 1 species
GAUGAACGCUGGCGGCGUGCUUAACACAUGCAAGUCGAACGGGAAUCACUUCAUUGAGACUUCGGUGGAUUUGAUUUGAUUCUAGUGGCGGACGGGUGAGUAACGCGUGGGUAACCUGCCUUAUACAGGGGGAUAACAGUCAGAAAUGACUGCUAAUACCGCAUAAGCGCACAGGACCGCAUGGUCCGGUGUGAAAAACUCCGGUGGUAUAAGAUGGACCCGCGUUGGAUUGGCUUGUUGGUGGGGUAACGGCCCACCAAGGCGACGAUCCAUAGCCGGCCUGAGAGGGUGAACGGCCACAUUGGGACUGAGACACGGCCCAGACUCCUACGGGAGGCAGCAGUGGGGAAUAUUGCACAAUGGGGGAAACCCUGAUGCGGCGACGCCGCGUGAAGGAAGAAGUAUCUCGGUAUGUAAACUUCUAUCAGCAGGGAAGAUAGUGACGGUACCUGACUAAGAAGCCCCGGCUAACUACGUGCCAGCAGCCGCAGUAA